AUCAACUUUCGAUGGUAGGAUAGAGGCCUACCAUGGUGGUAACGGGUAACGGGGUGUUAGGGCACGACACCGGAGAGGGAGCCUGAGAAACGGCUACCACAUCCAAGGAUGGCAGCAGGCGCGCAAAUUACCCAAUCCCGACACGGGGAGGUAGUGACAAUAAAUAACAAUACGGGGUUCUUUAGGAUCUCGUAAUUGGAAUGAGUACAAUUUAAAUCUCUUAACGAGGAACAAUUGGAGGGCAAGUCUGGUGCCAGCAGCCGCGGUAAUUCCAGCUCCAAUAGCGUAUAUUAAAGUUGUUGCAGUUAAAAAGCUCGUAGUUGAAUUUCGGGGUUAGUAGGUUGGUCAUGCCUCUGGUAUGUACUGGUCUCACUGAUUCCUCCUUCCUGAUGAACCGUAAUGCCAUUAAUUUGGUGUUUCGGGGAAUUUGGACUGUUACUUUGAAAAAAUUAGAGUGUUUAAAGCAAGCUAACGCUUGAAUACAUUAGCAUGGAAUAAUGAAAUAGGACGUUCGAUCCUAUUUUGUUGGUUUCUAGGAUUGACGUAAUGAUUAAUAGGGAUAGUUGGGGGCAUUAGUAUUCAAUUGUCAGAGGUGAAAUUCUUGGAUUUAUUGAAGACUAACUACUGCGAAAGCAUUUGCCAAGGAUGUUUUCAUUAAUCAAGAACGAAAGUUAGGGGAUCGAAGACGAUCAGAUACCGUCGUAGUCUUAACCAUAAACUAUGCCGACUAGGGAUCGGAUGAUGUUAAUUUUUUAAUGACUCAUUCGGCGCCUUACGGGAAACCAAAGUGUUUGGGUUC
rnacentral:rRNA from 1 species